rnacentral:lncRNA from 1 species
GCACGCUCAGAUACCCAGACGUCCGGCCACCUCAAUAGGCACACUCCGCACCCUGUGAUCCGACCAUCCGCGGAGGCGUGCUAGACCUCCGGGUGGGCGUGCUGGGCUUCUAUGCGGCGGAAGUCUAGACCACAGAUUGUGACUUCUCUUCUAGCAGUAGGUAUUGACUGGUCCCACUGCCGCCCUUCUGCCUGAGAGUAGUUCAAACUGGAGGGAAGAAGACAUAUGUGCUUGGUCUGCCGCCUUAAACCAGGAGUCUGAAAGAUGGGUCUGAAGGCUGCAGGCAAGGAUCUCUUAGACUGAGGAUAAUAGACACCAGAGCCGCACUACCACAGACAUCUCCACCAGAAACGAGUCAUCCAUCUUAUUUUUGAAACGGGGUCUUUCAUUGAACCUGGAACUCACUGACUGAGCUAGAGUUGCUGUUGAGAAAGCCCCAGGAAUCCUUUCGCCUUCCACCCCUCAACAUUUUCAAUACAGUGCAUCCUCAGGCCCACCAAAGUCUGCCAGGAUGAUGCAGAAGGCCACGCCACAGGAAGAAGUGAGGUAAACAGGUCAGGGCCAGAGCUCACCAGAAUGGACUAGUCCAGCUAGCCAGCUUGCUCUGAGGAUCCUCUGCAUCUGCCUCUGGAACGCUGAGAUUGCACUCCGCCAGCCGCCAUUUCUAAGGUU